ACUCCUACGGGAGGCAGCAGUGGGAAUAUUGCACAAUGGGGAAGCCAUCGAUGCAGCCAUGCCGCGCUGUGUGAAGAAGGCCAAUUCGGGCUUUGGUUAAAGACACUUUUCAGUAGGGAGGAAGGUAGUGUAGUUAACACCUGCAUUAUUUGACGUUACCUACAGAAGAAGCACCGGCUAACUCCGUGCCAGCAGCCGCGGUAAUACGGAGGGUGCGAGCGUUAAUCGGAAUUACUGGGCGUAAAGCGCGCGUAGGCGGACUGGAAAGUUGGGAGUGAAAUCCCAGGGCUCAACCCUGGAACGGCCUCCAAAACUCCAGUCUGGAGUUCGAGAGAGGUGAGUGGAAUUCCGAGUGUAGAGGUGAAAUUCGUAGAUAUUCGGAGGAACACCAGUGGCGAAGGCGGCUCACUGGCUCGAUACUGACGCUGAGGUGCGAAAGUGUGGGAGCAAACAGGAUUAGAUA
rnacentral:rRNA from 1 species